CGUACACUCCUGCGGGAGGCAGCAGUGGGGAAUAUUGGACAAUGGGCGCAAGCCUGAUCCAGCCAUGCCGCGUGAGUGAUGAAGGCCCUAGGGUUGUAAAGCUCUUUCACCGGAGAAGAUAAUGACGGUAUCCGGAGAAGAAGCCCCGGCUAACUUCGUGCCAGCAGCCGCGGUAAUACGAAGGGGGCUAGCGUUGUUCGGAAUUACUGGGCGUAAAGCGCACGUAGGCGGAUCGAUCAGUCAGGGGUGAAAUCCCAGGGCUCAACCCUGGAACUGCCUUUGAUACUGUCGAUCUGGAGUAUGGAAGAGGUGAGUGGAAUUCCGAGUGUAGAGGUGAAAUUCGUAGAUAUUCGGAGGAACACCAGUGGCGAAGGCGGCUCACUGGUCCAUUACUGACGCUGAGGUGCGAAAGCGUGGGGAGCAAACAGGAUUAGAAACCCUGGUAGUCCCA
rnacentral:rRNA from 1 species